CCUACGAAGCAAUGCCGCGUGGAUGAAGAAGGCCUUCGGGUUGUAAAGUCCUUUCGUGGGGACGAAAAGGCGGAUCCGAAUACGGUCUGCUAUUGACGUGAACCCAAGAAGAAGCACCGGCUAACUCCGUGCCAGCAGCCGCGUAGUACGGAGGGUGCGAGCGUUAAUCGGAAUUACUGGGCGUAAAGCGCACGCAGGCGGUCUGUCAAGUCGGAUGUGAAAUCCCCGGGCUCAACCUGGGAACUGCAUUCGAAACUGGCAGGCUAGAGUCUUGUAGAGGGGGGUAGAAUUCCAGGUGUAGCGGUGAAAUGCGUAGAGAUCUGGAGGAAUACCGGUGGCGAAGGCGGCCCCCUGGACAAAGACUGACGCUCAGGUGCGAAAGCGUGGGGAGCAAACAGGAUUAGAUACCCUGGUAGUCCACGCCGUAAACGAUGUCGACUUGGAGGUUGUGCCCUUGAGGCGUGGCUUCCGGAGCUAACGCGUUAAGUCGACCGCCUGGGGAGUACGGCCGCAAGGUUAAAACUCAAAGGAAUUGACG
rnacentral:rRNA from 1 species